rnacentral:rRNA from 1 species
CCUACGGGAGGCAGCAGUAGGGAAUUUUCGGCAAUGGGGGGAACCCUGACCGAGCAACGCCGCGUGAACGAAGAAGUUAUUCGUAAUGUAAAGUUCUUUUAACAGGGAAGAAAGAGAAAUUUGACGGUAACUGAAGAAUAAGCUCCGGCUAACUACGUGCCGGCAGCCGCGGUAAGACGUAGGGAGCGAGCGUAAUCCGGAAUUAUUGGGCGAAAAGGGUGCGUAGAUGGCAUAGUAAGUCUUGGGUAAAAAGGCUGGGCUAAACCCAGUAGGGCAAAAGAUACUGCAAAGCUAGAGUAUGACAGAGGCAAGUGGAACUAGAGGGGUAGCGGUAAAAUGCGUAGAUAU